UGCGAACAUUUGAAACUUAGGAGAUUUCAUAUAGAACUCCAGAUUUUUUAUUUCUUUUGAAAAAUUGGAAAUUCUGGUCACCCUGGACCUGAAAUCUUAACAAUCACCAGCCUAGAACAGAGCUGAAGAAAGACAGAUACUCUGUGUUGGAAAUUGCAAAAGCUCUCUGCAAGAACAACUCCAUCCGAACCCUGCCCUACGACACUCAACCAAGCUCUAGCAAAGCUUCUGGCAGCCUCAGGCCACACCCCUGGGACAACCCACCGCCGCUUUGCACUCCUGUGUGGAAAAGCUCAGGGCUGCCAAAAGAAUUC
rnacentral:lncRNA from 1 species